ensembl:lncRNA
CUCUUUCAAAGCUACUAUUCUCUUUCAACUUAGUCAAACUGCUUCACUAAUCAGUGAAAUCAAAAUCAAAAAUAAAAAAGGGGAUCUAACAUUCACCGUAUUACAGUGUCUGAGUGGAUUAUAAAACAGCAGUCAGCACCAUUCUGGUGUGAUGAGACCUACCAUGGACACUGGAGAAGUAAUCACACUAUUAACUUUAAAACUACUGCCUUGUUGGUAGCUUUGCCUGUUUGGCUGCAGUCCAGAAGAGAUACAGUGGUACACUAAGCAGGGAGAAGUCAGUGAAUGCCAUGGGCAAAUCUGAAUUCAGGAGCUGACCCAGUGAAAAUUUGAAAGGUUUACAGAGUUGGAGAUUACUGCAAGGUUCCUACGAAUAUUUGAGCAAGCAACCUCAUUUACCUCCUACAGCUGUGGUAGUAUGCACAACACAGUGGUUUCUCCUCGGCAUCAGUUCAAAAGAAGCUCAAAAACAAAUGAAAGAAAAUACGAGUUCCAUGUCUGAAGUGAGGAGAUUAAGGGAUACUGGACAACUCAUCUCUGAAGAAACUUCAGAGAGCUUUAUUUUUGGCAGCUGGACGGUUGUUCCAAUAGUGCUGUGCAGCUUGCUGGAUGGAGGAGGAUAUUGACUGAUGUGAUACCUGCUUGCUGUGAGUCUUACUCUGGUUCCUCUGCAACUUCUCUACAGUGUUACAAAAUAAAGUUGAUGGCACAGGACCUCAGUUUUGAAGUUAAUGUUUGGUGCCUGGGACAUCUCAAAAUUCAAGAGCUGAACUUUUUGGGAUGAAAAUCUUCGGAGAGAAUCAGUUUCCUCAGCAGGAAUGCAGCUUUCCCAGAUGUUUGUGUUGAGUUUACACAGUUAUGCCAGGUCAUUGCUUGGCUGUGGAUCAGGGAGCAUUGAUCAUUCAGAAGGGAGGUUGCCAAUCUGACAGGUGACAGCGUGGGAGGUAAGGAGAAGGAAGAACAGCCUCUUUUGCGCUUGCUGAUUUCAGUGCCUGAAAUGCUAUCUCAUCUCCACUAAUCCUCUAGCUUUCACAGCUGAACUUUCAGAUCUGCCAGCUCUUCCCAGAAAGAGACUGAGAACCGACAGGAGGAAAUCGAAUGCACUUUAAAUCUGAAAUCUGUCAUCAGAGUAGCAGUCUUCACAAACUCAACUUUUCAAAGAAGGAAAUGUAUAUUUGCACAUUUUUAUAAUACCUAGUAUAAUAGGCCUUUAAUUUUCACUGAGGCCUCUGAAGUGUUGUGUUAUAAAUAUUUCAUAAUCAUGUAGCUGUGUCUCCAUCUCUGUGUACAUCGUCUUCAAACAAGCAGGAAAUAUUGCUGUUUAUCAUGCCCAGCAGCCACUUAAUAUGUGUAACAGGAUGGGCUUUAGUACAGCAGGCUAUCUGAUCACCCCUGUGGAUAAUUUACUGCUGUUUUUCUUCAGUCAGCCAUUCUCUUAACUGAAAAGGGGUGCAGGGGAGACUUAUUCCACUGUAAGGAGUGGAUUUGUAUUAGCUACAUGAAGCCUUGUUUAAACUUGCAGAAGAGUAUUGACACUAUCAAGUCAGAUGCCUGGAUGUCAAGUAUAAGUCCCUUAUAUAAUGACUGAAGCGUCCAGAAUGUAAUUCAGUACAUUUUGAAAAAUGUCAAUGCUUUAGAUUUAAGUUGUACUGAGGAACAACCAUAUGCUACAUUUAAAUAAACUUAAAAUCAGUUUAUAAGCAUUGUAUAAGGGUUCUAUAAGAAUAAGAAUGAAGGCUUAAAUGUGCCUUGCAACAUUACUUCUCUGACAGAUUAUUGAGCUGUACAUAAGAAUGCUUGUUUAGAUACGUGUAUAUAGAGAGACAGAGAGUGCUAUCCUAAACCGUAGAAGGUGUAAUGUCAGUUUUUGAUAGUCCACAGGAAGAUUACACAUUAAAUAUUGUAGAGAGAGAGAGAGACACUGUUAUUUCACGAGCGAUUUGAAAUCAGAUAAUGUCUGUAAAACGCUGAACUAUAUAUGUAUGGAGAUAUUAUACAUAUGUAAUAUGCUUAUUGUAUAUGCAUGCAAACACUUAAAUGUAUCAAUACGUAGAUGCAUUUUAUAUAAAUUAUUUAUAUACUUAUAUAUAUACACUGUGAUAUGAUCACUGCUGCCUCAGGGCAGCUGCCUACAUUCUCUAGGAAAGCAAAUUAUCUCUAGUACAAUACAUCUAUUAGUUAAUUACAGUAUUUGCAUACUUGAUUAUAAAAUAUAUAAAGUAUUUCUAGAUUUGAGAAUUCAUAGACUUUGAGUAGCUUAGUUUAUAAGUGCUCCAUAUUACCUAUGUUAUGUUAGAAUGGCACACUGGAAUGGGAAGAGGACAAAUGAAAUUAAAACAUUAAAUUUAUUACAGUUAUAAAAAUAUGUACACUUUUUAUACAACAAAUAAUUAGACGGUGAAACACCUUGUCGAAAAAUUGUGGAUAAUUGCCUAGUAGGAUGAAAACAGCUGAAUAUAAGUGAGUAAUUAUUAUACCCUGCGGAAUUGCAUUAACUAAACAAACAAUUUAUAAUGGAUAUCAAUAGUCAUUCUAUAUAAUAUAAGCUUACCUGCUUAACAAACUAGAAGAAACAUUCCCUACAGACAAGCAUUUGCAUAAUCCUCAAUUAGGUAUUUGGAGAGGCAUAAAUUUUAAGGCCAAGAGAGAUUGUUAAGAUCAUGUCACCUGACCUUUGAAUAAGCAUGUGCAGCAGAAUGCUGUUAAGUCAUUCCUGACUCAGCCCUUGGU